UUACGGCCAUAACACAUCGAAACACUGGUUCUCGUACAUCAACAAAGUUAAGCAACGUUGAGCCUAAUCAGUAGCUAGAUGGGUGACCAUUUGGGAAUAUCAAGUGUCGUAA